AGCUAAUAGAUACCCGGUAGUCCACGCCCUAAACGAUGUUCAUUUGCUUUUCGGAGUAUCGACCCUCUGAGAGGCGUAGCUAAACGCGUUAAAUGAACCACCUGGGUAUUACGACCGCAAGGUUAAAACUCAAAGGAAUAGACGGGGACUUGCACAAGCAGUGGAUUAUGUGGUUUAAUUCGAUGGUAAACGAAGAACCUCACCAGGGUUUGAAACCUACGUGAAAGCUUCUGGAAACAGAAGCCCUCGCAAGACUAGUAGGCAGGUGCUGCAUGGCCGUCGUCAGUUCGUGGUUUGAAAUUGUUCCCUUCAGUGGGGUAACGAACGCAACCCUCGUCGUGUGUUACAAGUGUCACACGAGACUGCCCCCUCUCGGGGGAGGAAGGUGAGGAUGACGCCAGGUCAGCAUGGCCCUUUGAUACCCUGGGCUACACACAUAAUACAAUCGCCGUUACAACACGACGCAAUACCGUAAGGUGGAGCAAAUCGUUAGAAAAGCGGCGCCAGUUCGGAUUGAGGUCUGCAACUCGACCUCAUGAAGCCGGAAUUGCUAGUAAUC
rnacentral:rRNA from 1 species